rnacentral:rRNA from 1 species
CACGUAGGGCGCAAGCGUUUGUCCGGAAUUAUUGGGCGUAAAGAGCUCGUAGGCGGUCUGUUACGUCUGCUGUGAAAACCCGGGGCUUAACCCUGGGCUUGCAGUGGAUACGGGCAGACUAGAGGCAGGUAGGGGAGAAUGGAAUUCCCGGUGUAGCGGUGAAAUGCGCAGAUAUCGGGAGGAACACCGGUGGCGAAGGCGGGUCUCUGGGCCGAUACUGACGCUGAGGAGCGAAAAGCGUGGGGAGCAAACAGG